AUUGAACGCUGGCGGCAGGCUUAACACAUGCAAGUCGAGCGGAGUGAUGGUGCUUGCACUAUCACUUAGCGGCGGACGGGUGAGUAAUGCUUAGGAAUCUGCCUAUUAGUGGGGGACAACAUCUCGAAAGGGAUGCUAAUACCGCAUACGUCCUACGGGAGAAAGCAGGGGAUCACUUGUGACCUUGCGCUAAUAGACGAGCCUAAGUCGGAUUAGCUAGUUGGUGGGGUAAAGGCCUACCAAGGCGACGAUCUGUAGCGGGUCUGAGAGGAUGAUCCGCCACACUGGGACUGAGACACGGCCCAGACUCCUACGGGAAGCAGCAGUGGGGAAUAUUGGACAAUGGGGGGAACCCUGAUCCAGCCAUGCCGCGUGUGUGAAGAAGGCCUUAUGGUUGUAAAGCACUUUAAGCGAGGAGGAGGCUCUUUUGGUUAAUACCCAAGAUGAGUGGAUGUUACUCGCAGAAUAAGCACCGGCUAACUCUGUGCCAGCCGCCACUGUAA
rnacentral:rRNA from 1 species